GUGGGCCCUACCAGUGAGACACCAUAUAGCAUAGGUUGACCCUAGUAAGGGAUACAGUAUUGUCUAAGUAGAUAGACAACAUAUCAUCCCCCACCCUUGCUCUCAUUGAACACCAUUAGAGUACAUCACCAUUAACCUCUAUUGUGUUAUCAUUACCUUGGUUUAACCUUAUUCUAUGAUUUGACUGGUUGGAUUAACCUGAUUGAACCAAUCUAGGUCAUUGGGUAAUGUGCUAACCUACCUUAGCCUCGAUUAGACUCUGCUAGAUUUG
rnacentral:lncRNA from 1 species